rnacentral:rRNA from 1 species
AUUGAACGCUGGCGGCAUGCCUUAUACAUGCAAGUCGAACGGCAGCACGGGUGCUUGUCUCUGGUGGCGAGUGGCGCACGGGUGCGUAAUACAUAGGCACCUGUCCUGCAGCGGGGGAUAGCCCGGCCAAAGCCGGAUUUAUCCCGCCUACGCACUACGGGUGAAAGCGGGGGUACUUCUGGCCUCGCGGUAUUGGGUUGUCCGCUGGCUGAUUAGCUACUUGGUGGGGGAAAGGCCGACCACCGCGACGGUCAUGAGCUGGUCUGCGAGGAGGACGAGCCACACUGGGACUGAGACACGGCCCAGGCUCCUACGGGAGCCAGAAGUGGGGGAUGGUGGACAAUGAGCGUAAGCCUGAGCCAGCAAUGCCGCGGGUGUGAGGAAGGCCUUCGGGUUGUAAAGCACUUUUUGCCGGAAAGAAAGCCUUGGCCCUAAGACGGUCGGGGGAUGACGGUACCAGAAGAAUAAGCACCGGCUAACUACGUG